AGUAUACCAAGGCGUUUGAGAGAAUGGUGUUGAAGGAACUAGGCAAAUUGCUCGCGUAACUUCGGGAUAAGCGAGACCCCGUUUUGGGCAACCAGGGCGGGGUGGCACAGAAGAGGGGGUAGCGACUGUUUACUAAAAACACAGGGCUCUGCGAAGUCGCAAGACGACGUAUAGGGUCUGACGCCUGCCCGGUGCUGGAAGGUUAAGAGGAGAGGUGCAAGCCUUGAAUCGAAGCCCCAGUAAACGGCGGCCGUAACAAUAACGGUCCUAAGGUAGCGAAAUUCCUUGUCGGGUAAGUUCCGACCUGCACGAAUGGCGUAACGACUUCCCCACUGUCUCCAACACCAGCUCAGCGAAAUUGAACUCUCCGUGAAGAUGCGGAGUACCCGCGGUCAGACGGAAAGACCCCGUGCACCUUUACUACAACUUUGCAGUGGUAAUAGGAGAAGGAUGUGUAGGAUAGGUGUAGCCUAUGAAGCGGAGGCGCUAGCUUUCGUGGAGGCACCCUUGAAAUACCACCCUUUCGUCUUCUGUUAUCUAACCUAGGUCAGUCAUCCUGAUCGGGGACCCUGCAUGGUGGGUAGUUUGACUGGGGCGGUCGCCUCCCAAAGAGUAACGGAGGCGCGCGAUGGUGGGCUCAGGCUGGUCGGAAAUCAGCCGUCGAGUGCAAUGGCACAAGCCCGCCUGACUGCGAGAGCGACGGCUCGAGCAGAGACGAAAGUCGGUCAUAGUGAUCCGGUGGUCCCCCGCGUGGAAGGGCCAUCGCUCAACGGAUAAAAGGUACGCCGGGGAUAACAGGCUGAUCUCCCCCAAGAGUCCACAUCGACGGGGAGGUUUGGCACCUCGAUGUCGGCUCAUCACAUCCUGGAGCUGGAGCAGGUCCCAAGGGUACGGCUGUUCGCCGUUUAAAGUGGUACGUGAGCUGGGUUUAGAACGUCGUGAGACAGUUCGGUCCCUAUCUGCCGUGGGUGAACGAGACUUGAGAGGCGCUGUCCCUAGUACGAGAGGACCGGGAUGGACGUACCUCUGGUGUACCGGUUGUGGCGCCAGCCGCAUCGCCGGGUAGCUAUGUACGGACGGGAUAACCGCUGAAAGCAUCUAAGCGGGAAACCCUCCUCAAAACCAGGCCUCGCAUGAGAGCCGUGAUAGACCAUCACGUCGAUAGGCCGGAGGUGGAAGUGCAGUAAUGCAUGCAGCCAACCGGUACUAAUCGCUCA
rnacentral:rRNA from 1 species